AAAUUUCUACCAGGCAGGAAACAGCUAGAAACAAGGUUGAGUGUUCAGUCUUCCUUCCUGCAGGAAAGAAUUGUUCCGCCUCUUAAAGGAGAUCCGUGGGGAAAGACCUGGCUGGACAGCCUUUUACAUAGCCCCAGUGAAAACAAUGCAGGAAUCUGAAAAGGUCAUUAGGAAAAUAAAAACUUAAAGUCCUGAAAAGCUUUCUGACAAUUGUCCAAGGCCAUGCAGUCCUGAGGACACAGAGGACACCAGCCAUCCCUCAGCCACGACCCACGAGCCAACCCAAUCAGACCACAUCUUGUCUUUCAGGAAAAUGCACUGAAUUUUGUACCAUGCCCCCAAAAGCCUGGAUCAAAUUAAGAGUUUUAAUACUCAAAGUCAUUUAUAUUGUGUCUCUAAAGCAUAUACAAUAAAUGUACGCAUCACUCAGGAUAUAUUAAA
rnacentral:lncRNA from 1 species